rnacentral:rRNA from 1 species
AUUGAACGCUGGGCGGCAUGCUUUACACAUGCCAAGUCGAACGGCAGCGGGGGCUUCGGCCUGCCGGCGAGUGGCGAACGGGUGAGUAAUGCAUCGGAACGUGCCCAUGUCGUGGGGGAUAACGUAGCGAAAGCUACGCUAAUACCGCAUGCGCCCUGAGGGGGAAAGCGGGGGAUUCUUCGGAACCUCGCGCGAUUGGAGCGGCCGAUGUCGGAUUAGCUAGUAGGUGAGGUAAAGGCUCACCUAGGCGACGAUCCGUAGCGGGUCUGAGAGGAUGAUCCGCCACACUGGGACUGAGACACGGCCCAGACUCCUACGGGAGGCAGCAGUGGGGAAUUUUGGACAAUGGGCGCAAGCCUGAUCCAGCCAUGCCGCGUGAGUGAAGAAAGGCCUCGGUGUAAGUAGUACUUCGUCGGUACGGAACGUACGUAGGUCGUCGUAACUACUAGACGACUGAGUGAGUACGGACGUAACGAACGACGAACGGCAACUACGUACGCACGCAGACG